rnacentral:sRNA from 1 species
GGGCUGUUUCCGAGUCGUGUAAUAAUGGU